rnacentral:lncRNA from 1 species
GGAAGAGAGACAAGAGUGGGGGCGGAUCAUCGCUGCCAGGAUUCUGGCUCCCCAUUCAUUUCUGGCACACACAGUCUCCAAGUAUAAUUAACAGGGGAAGGGAGCCUUUGUUCAGCAAGCUUAAAGAAAAAACAUCCUCCCCUCCCCCCAUGGUGACUUAAAGGUUGCUGUAAGAGCUAGCCACCCGUUGUUUGCCAAGUUCAUGGAGACCUCUGGGAAUGAAACAGCAGGGAAAGAGGAGCUUCUGGACAAUGGUGUCAAGAGGCUGUACUUAAAGGCUGAGUAGCAGGAGCAGCAAGCACAGGAUUUUUAUGAUAUUCUCAAGCUCAGCUCUGCCACUGAGCAGCUUGCCCAGCUACCCUGAGCAAACAACAGGAUGAGGACAGAAAUUGCAGUGCUUCCCCUCUCCUGAAAUUAAAAUAGCAUUUUAUUUAUAGUUAUUGAAUACCCCAAACCUAAGGAGAUCAACUACAUUUCCAAGAAUUGAGCCCUAAAAUUCAGGCACUGAUAUAAGAAAGGAACCAGUUUUUUUCUUGUUUUUCAUUUUUUCCUAAUAUUGGAAAUGAAAGAACAAAAACGUUUUUUUGGCUCCCUGUCUCUUUCCCUGAGCUGUGCUCAGGCUGAAGGACCCAGAACAUUUUCUUUCUCCUUGUUUCCUGCAGCUAGAUCUACACUGGUGAAUUUAGUUAACUGGAUCACUGUAGGCAGCCAAUAUAGAUGAUUCAGCUUUCUCCCCACUCGACACCUUCCCUGCCCCCACCCGACCCCUACCCCUGCAAUUCCACCUUGAUUUAGUGGGUCAGGACUGAUCUCUGUCCCUGCUAGCAGGGAGGGGAGAAAGUUGACAUUGCUGUAUUUUGGUUGUCUCCAGGUGGGGUAUAACAUCACAGGCUGGUUGGAGAAGAACAAGGACGCCUUGAAUGAAACUGGUGGGCUUGUUCCAGAAAUCCAGCAUGGUGCUACUUAAUACGCUCUUUAAAGAAGAGGAGGCUGCAGCUGGAGCUAAGAAGCAAAAAAGAGGGUCGUCCUUCGUGACUGUCUCCAACUUCUACAGGGUAAGACCCUCCCCCAAGCCCUCUGCCCCAACCCUAAUGCAUUC